UACAGAGGUCCCAAGCGUUGCUCGGAAUCACUGGGCGUAAAGGGUGCGUAGGCGGGUCUUUAAGUCAGGGGUGAAAUCCUGGAGCUCAACUCCAGAACUGCCUUUGAUACUGAGGAUCUUGAGUCCGGGAGAGGUGAGUGGAACUGCGAGUGUAGAGGUGAAAUUCGUAGAUAUUCGCAAGAACACCAGUGGCGAAGGCGGCUCACUGGCCCGGUACUGACGCUGAGGCACGAAAGCGUGGGGAGCAAACAGG
rnacentral:rRNA from 1 species